rnacentral:rRNA from 1 species
GCUCGUGGAUCGAUGAAGACCGCAGCUAAAUGCGCGUCAGAAUGUGAACUGCAGGACACAUGAACACCGACAAGUUGAACGCAUAUUGCACAUCGUACAACAGUACGAUGUACACAUUUUUGAGUGCCUAUAUUUAUCUAUUCAACUAUACGUGCGUGCGCGUCCCACUCCGGGUGGACAGGCGCACGCGGCAACGUAUGCGUAGUGAUGUUUUCCCGACCUUCGGUGGCGGUAAAACAUUGAAGAUAGUCAGGCGCGUUCCUCUCCGGUGGAACGUGGUUGAUGAAUACAUCCCAUGGCACCCACCCCCCAGUGGUCCAGUGUUGUAUUCCAUCUCUCUCUCGAACGCAAACGUGUGUCUCCAUGAACCCCCCACACACAGAUCAGUAGGCCUCAGAUAAUGUGUGACUACCCCCUAAAUUUAAGCA